GAGGCUCCAGGCUCCUUCAGGGCAGAAUGGUAGAGCAGGCCAAGCAUGGAAUCUUCCUCCAAAGACCUACCUCCUCACAGACAGGGGAAGAGGGAGGAGUCCCUUCAAGUGCUCCUAGAUGCCUAAGUCCUUGGAGAGGGAAAGAACCAGGAAUGUAGGAGAGAAAUCACAUGGGGGCCCGUGUGUGUAUGCAGAAGGACAUCGUCCAGAUGAUCAUCCCACGAACCUCAGAGGGCUGCACACAGAGAGAAUGUGGUUCUUAGCUCUGCAAAGAAAAAGGCCCGAGA